rnacentral:misc_RNA from 1 species
UCCGGUUUGUCACCGGCAGUCUCGCAUGAGUCCCCGGCCGAACCGCUGGCAACAUGCGACGGGGUUUGCGCUCGUUGCGGGACUUAACCCAGCAUCUCACGACACGAGCUGACGACAGCCAUGCAGCACCUGUGUCCCGGUCCCCGAAGGGAACCCUAGAUCUCUCUAGGUAGCCGGGCAUGUCAAAGGUUGGUAAGGUUCUGCGCGUUGCUUCGAAUUAAACCACAUGCUCCACCGCUUGUGCGGGCCCCCGUCAAUUUCUUUGAGUUUUAAUCUUGCGACCGUACUCCCCAGGCGGAUAACUUAAUGCGUUAGCUGCGCCACCAAAAGCCUAAGGCCCCUGACAGCUAGUUAUCAUCGUUUACGGCGUGGACUAC